AUACGUAGGGAGCAAGCGUUAUCCGGAAUUACUGGGCGUAAAGGGCGUGUAGGCGGCCGAUUAAGCCAGGUGUAAAAUGUUACAGCUCAACUGUAAACCCGCAUCUGGAACUGGUCGGCUAGAGGACGAGAGAGGAAAGUGGAAUUCCUAGUGUAGCGGUGGAAUGCGUAGAUAUUAGGAGGAACACCAGUGGCGAAGGCGGCUUUCUGGCUCGUACCUGACGCUGAGGCGCGAAAGCGUGGGGAGCAAACAGGAUUAGAUACCCUGGUAGUCCACGCCGUAAACGAUGAGUACUAGGUGUAGGAGGCAACAACCUUCUGUGCCGCAGCUAACGCAAUAAGUACUCCGCCUGGGGAGUACGCUCGCAAGAGUGAA
rnacentral:rRNA from 1 species